AGUGAACGCUGGCGGUAGGCCUAACACAUGCAAGUCGAACGGCAGCACAGUAAGAGCUUGCUCUUACGGGUGGCGAGUGGCGGACGGGUGAGGAAUACAUCGGAAUCUACUUUUUCGUGGGGGAUAACGUAGGGAAACUUACGCUAAUACCGCAUACGACCUACGGGUGAAAGCAGGGGAUCUUCGGACCUUGCGUGAUUGAAUGAGCCGAUGUCGGAUUAGCUAGUUGGCGGGGUAAAGGCCCACCAAGGCGACGAUCCGUAGCUGGUCUGAGAGGAUGAUCAGCCACACUGGAACUGAGACACGGUCCAGACUCCUACGGGAGGCAGCAGUGGGGAAUAUUGGACAAUGGGCGCAAGCCUGAUCCAGCCAUACCGCGUGGGUGAAGAAGGCCUUCGGAUUGUAAAGCCCUUUUGUUGGGAAAGAAGAGCAGCAGGUUAAUACCCCGCUGUUCUGACGGUACCCAAAGAAUAAGCACCGGCUAACUUCGUG
rnacentral:rRNA from 1 species